GACAGAGGGUGCAAACGUUGCUCGGAAUUACUGGGCGUAAAGCGCGUGUAGGCGGACCGGUGUGUCGGAUGUGAAAUCCCUGGGCUCAACCCAGGAACUGCAUUCGAAACUACCGGUCUAGAGUGGUGGAGAGGGAAGUGGAAUUCCUGGUGUAGAGGUGAAAUUCGUAGAUAUCAGGAGGAACACCAGUGGCGAAGGCGGCUUCCUGGACACCAACUGACGCUGAGACGCGAAAGCGUGGGGAGCAAACAGG
rnacentral:rRNA from 1 species